GAUGAACGCUGGCGGCGUGCCUAACACAUGCAAGUCGAGCGAUUCUCUUCGGAGAAGAGCGGCGGACGGGUGAGUAACGCGUGGGUAACCUGCCUCAUACACAUGGAUAACAUACCGAAAGGUAUGCUAAUACAGGAUAACAUAAGAGAUUCGCAUGGAUUUCUUAUCAAAGCUCCGGCGGUAUGAGAUGGACCCGCGUCUGAUUAGCUAGUUGGUAAGGUAAUGGCUUACCAAGGCGACGAUCAGUAGCCGACCUGAGAGGGUGAUCGGCCACAUUGGAACUGAGACACGGUCCAAACUCCUACGGGAGGCAGCAGUGGGGAAUAUUGCACAAUGGGCGAAAGCCUGAUGCAGCAACGCCGCGUGAGUGAUGAAGGCCUUCGGGUCGUAAAACUCUGUCCUCAAGGAAGAUAAUGACGGUACUUGAGGAGGAAGCCCCGGCUAACUACGUGCCAGCAGCCGCGGUAAUACGUAGGGGGCUAGCGUUAUCCGGAUUUACUGGGCGUAAAGGGUGCGUAGGUGGUUUCUUAAGUCAGGAGUGAAAGGCUACGGCUCAACCGUAGUAAGCUCUUGAAACUGGGAAACUUGAGUGCAGGAGAGGAAAGUGGAAUUCCUAGUGUAGCGGUGAAAUGCGUAGAUAUUAGGAGGAACACCAGUAGCGAAGGCGGCUUUCUGGACUGUAACUGACACUGAGGCACGAAAGCGUGGGGAGCAAACAGGAUUAGAUACCCUGGUAGUCC
rnacentral:rRNA from 1 species